AUGCUCCCGAGAGCUCAUGCGGGAAGGUGAAGAAUUGGGGGGAAGAGGAGGGAGCAGUUUCCCCUUUCCCCAUGGAGCUGUGUGCAGGUAAAACAGACAAGAAUCAUUUCCCCCUUCUGGCUCAAGUAGCUGAAUCAACGUGUGACCGGUUCAGUUGCUUACAGAAUGAAAUGAACACAUUGUACCUUAACCUCAGCAAAGCAUCUGACAGUCUCCCAUGAAAUUCUGUACAAAAGAUGGCAAAAUCUGAGCUGUAUUUAUCCUACCAGUGAGAGAAUUAGGCCAGUGGUUCCACAAUCAUACCAGACAAAUAUAUGUCAACAAUUUGAAAUCAAGCUGGGAGGAAAUAUGAGUGGCAAACCACAAGACUCCAUUCUAGAUAUUUAAACAGAGGCUGGAUGGAUAUCUGACAGGAAUACUGUUGUUACAAAUUCCUGCACUGGACAUGGAGAUGGAUGCAAUUAUAUCUUUUAUGCCUCUCUUUAUAAGUCUCAAUAUAUUGUUAUUUCAGUACAAUGAUAUUUAUAUGAUAUACUGUAGUUGCAAAUUCUUAACAUUCUGUUAUUGGAUGUAUUGGGAGUAAAGAAAAGUAGAUAUAUUAUCAAUAUUAGCUACGAUUUAGGAUAUUGAUGUUACAAGCAUUGAAAUUAUUUGGCUUUUUCAUUCAAAGUAUAACAUUGGAAAGAAAAAAAAAUAAAGAACACACUGUAA